rnacentral:rRNA from 1 species
AGAGCGAACGCUGGCGGCAGGCCUAACACAUGCAAGUCGAGCGCCCGUAGCAAUACGGGAGCGGCAGACGGGAGAGUAACACGUGGGAACGCGCCCUUCGGUUCGGAAUAACUCAGGGAAACUUGAGCUAAUACCGGAUACGCCCUUACGGGGAAAGAUUUAUUGCCGAAGGAACGGCCCGCGUCCGAUUAGCUAGUUGGUGAGGUAAUGGCUCACCAAGGCGACGAUCGGUAGCUGGUCUGAGAGGAUGACCAGCCUCACUGGGACUGAGACACGGCCCAGACUCCUACGGGAGGCAGCAGUGGGGAAUAUUGGACAAUGGGCGCAAGCCUGAUCCAGCCAUGCCGCGUGGAUGAUGAAGGCCUUAGGGUUGUAAAGUCCUUUUAACGGGGAGAUAAUGACGGUACCCGUAGAAUAAGCCCCGGCUAACUUCGCGCCAGCAGCCGC